rnacentral:ncRNA from 1 species
GAGAGCACAGUACGAUGAAAGUUGUAAGCUGUGUUCGGGGGGGAGUUAUUGUCUAUCGUUGGCUCUAUGGUAGAACCCGUCGGGGAGGCCUGAGAGGCGGUGGUUUACCCUGU